GAUGAACGCUGGCGGCGUGCCUUAUACAUGCAAGUCGAGUGGGUUUAGACCCACGGCAAACGGGUGAGUAACACGUAGGUACUUUCCUUGUCACAGGAAUAACCCUCCGAAAGGAGGGCUAAUACCUGAUGUGAUCGCAAGAUUAAAGGGUAUCCGCAAGGAUUACCGGACAAGAAGAGGCCUGCGGCCUAUCAGCUAGUUGGCGGGGUAAAUGCCCACCAAGGCUAUGACGGGUAGCUGGUCUUAUGAGGAUGAUCAGUCACAUGGGCACUGAGACACGGGCCCAACUCCUACGGGAGGGAGCAGUAGGGAAUUUUGCGCAAUGGGCGAAAGCCUGAAGCAGCGACGGCGCGUGCGGGAUGAAGGCCUUCGGGUCGUAAACAGCUUUUAUAAGGGACGAACUUUGACGGUACCUGAUGAAUAAGAGGUUGCUAACUCUGUG
rnacentral:rRNA from 1 species